UUGCGAGCUAUUUUGCUUGUUUCGACGCUUAAACGGUAGUGCAUUACAUUUGCAGUGUAAAACGGAGUUCAACGAGCGCUUAAACGUCGAAAUAUAUCAAUCGGGAAGGAAAUGACAGCUAGUUUUCGUCAAAAUCGACGAAAUCUUCGCGAUUUGCUACAUAUUUUGAUUGUUUCGACGCUUAAACGGUAGUGCAUUACAUUUGCAGUGUAAAACGGAGUUCAACGAGUGCUUAAACGUCGAAAUAUCUCCAACGGGAAGGAAAUGACGGCUAGUUUUCGUCAAAAUCGACGAAAUCUUCGCGAUUUGCGAGCUAUUUUGCUCGUUUCGACGCUUAAACGGUAGUGCAUUACAUUUGCAGUGUAAAACGGAGUUCAACGAGUGGUUAAACGUCGAAAUAUCUCCAACGGGAAGGAAAUGACGGCUAGAUUUCAUCAAAA